rnacentral:rRNA from 1 species
CGCCCGACCUCCAACCCUUUGUUGUUAAAACUACCUUGUUGCUUUGGCGGGACCGCUCGGUCUCGAGCCGCUGGGGAUUCGUCCCAGGCGAGCGCCCGCCAGAGUUAAACCAAACUCUUGUUAUUAAACCGGUCGUCUGAGUUAAAAUUUUGAAUAAAUCAAAACUUUCAACAACGGAUCUCUUGGUUCUCGCAUCGAUGAAGAACGCAGCGAAAUGCGAUAAGUAAUGUGAAUUGCAGAAUUCAGUGAAUCAUCGAAUCUUUGAACGCACAUUGCGCCCCUUGGUAUUCCGAGGGGCAUGCCUGUUCGAGCGUCAUUACACCACUCAAGCUAUGCUUGGUAUUGGGUGCCGUCCUUAGUUGGGCGCGCCUUAAAGACCUCGGCGAGGCCUCACCGGCUUUAGGCGUAGUAGAAUUUAUUCGAACGUCUGUCAAAGGAGAGGACUUCUGCCGACUGAAACCUUUAUUUUUCUAGGUUGACCUCGGAUCAGGUAGGGAUACCCGCUGAACUUAAGCAUAUCAAUAGCCGGGAGGAAAAGA